rnacentral:lncRNA from 1 species
CACCACAAAAACCAUUCUUCAUAUACUACAUCCAAUUUUAAUAUUCUAUAGAUUUCAAUGUCUAGCAUUUUCAAGAUUAUUGGGUUCGAGAAGAGAAGGUCGUCGUGUUUAGAUGGAGAUGAUGGGUAUGAUUAUGCCCCAGCAGCAUGCUUAGAAGGAGGUGGUGACGACGAUGAUGGAGACUAUGACUAUGCUCCUGCUGCAUAAAUUCAUUGAAGAUUAUUGGCAAUGGAAAAUCUAAAGUAGACGUAGCGUGUUUGGUCAAACUCAGUGCUGCUUCUAAUGCAUACAUGAGAAAGAAGUAGGGAUCUUGGUUUUACUUAAUCCUAGUAUUCUUUUUUUUUUUAGCAAUACAUAGUUUAAUAUAUUAAUUAAAACUUUGAGCAGCUAAGGGGCGUUAGGGACUAUGAAAUCACUUGCUUAUUAGAUGUACCUUUUUUUCUAUUGACAAUAUUAAUUUUGAAUAACUUAUGCAGAAGAGUGACAUGAAGUAUACUUUAACGUAGUCUCACUUGAUGAUGUGAUCGAGUUCAUAUCCCAUAUACAUUGCUCUAUUAGUCUAUUCUUAGUUGUCAAUAUAAACUCCUAUCACUGAGCUAGGAAUUUCAGUGAGAUAGGUAAAGACUUUUGACCAGAGGUGAAUUUAGGAUUUGAAUUUUACGGCUUUAACCUCUAAAUAUUUUAGUAUUGAACUCAUUAUAUUGUUAAAGUUAUGAGUUCAUAUAUACUAUUUGUUCCUACUUUAAAUAAUUUUUACAUAUAAAUUUAUGUUUCGCGUUGAAAGCACUGAGUUCAGUUGAACCCAGAGGCAGAUCCAGGAUUUAAAUCUUAUGGGUUCAAUUUUAAGGGCUUUUAACAUUGAACCCAUUGUAUUUUUAAAUUUAUGGGUUCAUAUCUACUAUUUUGCAAUUUUAAUAAAUUUUUACAUACAAAUUUUUACUUCGCGUCGAAAGUUAUGGAUUCAGUUGAACCCGUAGGUUAUACGCUGCAUCCGCCCAUGGUUGAACCCGGCACUGCUAUGCUGGAUCCGCCCCUGCUCUUGACAUAUGAUUCACAGCUCCCAUCUUAGCAAGCACAUCUGCAGCCAUAUUUGCUUCCCUGAAGCAAUGUUGAACGUUGACAUUGAGCUUUGAGACUUUAUCUUGUAUCGAUCAUCUUCUCUGGGAUAAAAUCUUGUGAAUAUUCUAUUUUAAAUCCAAUGUCAAACGAAUGUUGUAAAGGAAGAGGAACGGUCAUGACGAAUCGAUGACUUUUCUUUAUUAGGUCAUUUUUAUGGGCCCGC